CCACCUGUUUAACACCAGGUUUUCUUAAUAGCCCUUAGGCUUCUUAUUAUAUGGUCUUCCUGGGCAAUCCCAAAAAGGAAAGUGAGAUGGAGUCUGAAAGGUCUCAAUUAUAAAGACUGAAAGCAAAUAUGUUUCAUUUUUUUACACGAUUCUUUUUACAGAGCAGAUAUGCACCUUCCAGCCAUGAUUAAGCAACAGGGAUUCUGUCACGUGCUGCUGAUCUACUCAAUACCAACAUCUCUACCCAGGCCAAAAGAAAAAAAAAAGUAAUAAGAGAUAUAUUUGACAUGCAGUGGGAAAAUGAAAAAUUACAGGUGAUUGAAAUUAGCUCUUCACUCACCAGAGGGACUUGCAACAGAACACUAUGAAGAGACAUUUUACUCUGCUUCUGGAGGGAGGGUGCAGAAUUUAGCAUGAUCUGAGGAUGAAACAGUAGCAACUGAUGGAUAACUCUCAAAAAAACCCCAUUCUUUGGUUCACUUCAUUUAUUAGAGGAGUGUAUCCUGAAAAGAUCUAAAGCAACUGUAAAUUCAUAAAGUAAAUAAUAGAAGAAAGAGGACUGCGGGUAAUUUUUUUGCAGCUAUAUAUCACAAGAAAAAUUGUAUAACCAAGAGGCUUCCAUUGGAAAACUCUUGAGCAAGCUUAUGAUGUAGAACUACUGUUUCUGGAAUAUAAAUUCUCACCUAUAGCAGCUGCUAGUACAUAAAUUUUGUUAUGUCAGUGGCUGCUCGUAAACCCUCAUCAUGAUUUAACCUACUCUCUCCUUUAUGCAGUAGUCCUUUCCCACUGAAUCCUUUUUAAAAUUACUGAGAUAAGCAAUUUGCUGGGAAGUAUUAGGAACUCUCCAUAUUAAUAUACAGUCCAGAGACCUUCUAACCACAAAAAUAAAAAGGAAAUAAAAAAUAUAUUUUCCAGCAUGCCAGUUUGUUGGCUUCUCCAGAGACCCACCUCAUUUCAUGGUCAUUUCAUGCAUAAACUAAAAUCAUCAGCCAUAUCUUGGCUCCUCAAGGUGCUCACUUUUCUUCACUCUAUUUCUGAACUACUGCUUUUCAAAAGAAGAUGCUAAUCUGAACUCAGGCAGCAAAUAAAGGGUAUCAGAAAUAGUGCUCCUGGGCUUGUCAGUUGAUUUUCAGGACAUGUGAUUAUACUAAGUUUCUGAACUUAAUGUGCUGCCUUAAUUUUUACUAUUUUCAUCAAGAUGUUUGUAGUCAGGAAGGAAUAUAGUUAUCAUUAAUCCUGUAGAGCCCUUAAAAAAUCAAGCUGAGGUGAUUUGGCUGCCCAGAUUCAACACUGAAAUUUUGGUGUUAAUAGGGGAAUGUGCUACAGACCCUAUGGUACCUCCUUAAA